rnacentral:lncRNA from 1 species
ACACAUUGAUUCUGCCAUCACAGUUAGGUAUUGUCUAUACUGGUAUAUUGGUAUACUUAUUUCAAUGUUAUAUUGACUAUCUUUCAGAUGAGUGUCCAGAAUGCUGUUGGAGAGUGAGGCAAAACAACUUUGACUACUCCAAGGUUUUGAAAAGAAGAGUGAGAGAGGGAACAGAGGAGGUCCUCAUUUGUUGGGUUCCAUGCAAGACCUGUGGGACCAAAUGGAAAGACUCCUGGGAGCCCUCCUCCCUUCUUGAAUAAUGAAUUACAUUUUUAUUUUUAUUUUGUAUUUUCUUUUAUAAUGAAUAAAAUAACUACAAACAUAAACAAAGUUAUUGACUUGUUAUUCAUUGCCUAAAUUGCAUAUGCUAUAUAGAGUACACACAGAUCUUUAUAAAUAACCUAAUUAAAAAUCCUCUGUUUAUUGUCAGUUUUGUUUGAAUAACUGUUAUAUCUACGUCUGUACGUCUGUUAUGUUCUCACGUGUUUGUCUGUGUAUGUAGUUAUAUAUGUACUGUCUAUAUAUUGGUUGUAAGCAGGAUUUCUUGUAACUUGGUGGAUGGGUAGGACAUGGUACAGGAAGAAACCUAUUAUAUUUUGUGGCUGUUAAAAUUUUAGAUUAAUAAAAUUUGAUGUAGUUGGAGAU